GUGAUGAAAAAUUUUCAUAAAACUUUUUUUUAUCUCCACCAUUAAAACUCACUUGCAAAUGCUGCAUCUCGUGAAAAGUAUAUUUACAACGUCAUCAGUGUGAUUCGUCGUAAAAGUUAAUAAAGAAAAAAAAAGAGGUAUUCCAAUAGUCGUUGGAAUGUGAGUACAAGAAGCUACUAAAGCAAGUACUUGAUGGAGAGAGAAGUAACAGCCCAGCAGCUGGCCUAUAAGACGUCCAAGUGCUCCCGUUAUUGAUUUACGUUGAUAGCUUCUCUCUUCUUCUGCAACCCACCCUGAAAGAGGGAUUUCCGAUGUGCUUACCAAUGUGCACACAUACGAGAGCAAGCGAACUUUCCGUCGGUUAAUACAAACUUGUAUACAGUGUUUUGAGUGUGUUAGGCUUCCUACAUGCCAGAGUCAAUGUAAACAAGUGAAAUUUUAACAACUCGAGAACGGGCUGAUGAAUUUCAAACAGCUGGUCCAGCCACAGUUUAACGAAUUUCUCGAGUUCCAACUAAUUGCACCCUGUGCAACAACUCGGGCAACUGGAAAAUUUACAGUGCACUCCAAUAGGAGAGACCUCUCUAUCUAUACGUAACUGGGUAAAGGGGCAUUUUGGUGGUAUCGUCGAGGCUCUUGGACUACCGAGCAAUUAUGCAAUGUUACGGUUACUCUGUUGCCCAUGGAAUCCACUGGGCAACUGUGCAUCUGCCUCGAACUCGAGACGCUGGAGUGCAUUGUCACACGGAAUUCUGACAAUCGAUUACCAUUGCAUGGUCUUG